AUACUUACCUGGACGGGAUCUUUACGGGUGAUCAUGAAUGCCUGUGGUCUACACUGGAGAUCUUCAUUGCACUUUGAAGGGGCUCUGGUCUACCAUCUGCCCAAGUGAUAGAGUGGACGUCAUAAUUUGUGGCAGGAGUUCGCGUCCGCGCGGCCCCUAU